UGGGGCCACAAUAUGGGGUCAAAGUUUUACAUACAUAUAUAUAGGGAAAAUCUUUGAAAUUCUUCUUCUCAAGAACCACUGGGCCAGAAAAACUGAUUUACAUGAAAGCUUCCUUAGUUACAUAAUUAUGUUCCCCAAACAAAGUUUGGGAACAUAUUGGUUUUACUCUGUUUCUUAUUAGGGUCUUCCGAGCUUCCUUCGGAAGACCCUUCUGUUAUUCUACUGUUUCUUAUUAUUAUUUUAUUUUUUUUCCCCGCUUUUUUUGUACAGGCGAUUUCUCGGAAACCUUUUAUCUGAUUAUUAUGAAACUUUCAGUGUAGAUACAUUGCAUUAAGACCUAAAAACAGCUUUUCUAAAUUUUUGAUAUGUACCUCCGUUUACGAGUUAUUGCCCUUUAAUUGAAUUUCGGGGGGGUCUUUUGUCCAGCAGAAAUCUCAGGAACUACAAAUGAUAUCAGCAAGAAAAUUGGAGAAAAUGUAGAUAAGGUAUUGUAGUUGUGCAGGAAGUUAAAAUUAUUGGCUAAACUUUUUAACUUCAGAAGCUAUGUGAUGGCAAAUUUUGAGAAUUUUUUCCCCAUAGAAUUUUGUUGCUUUUUGUGUAAUAUCUUUUAAGCUGGUAUUAAUUUGGUAAGACAUAUAGAACAAAAGUUGUGUGUAAUUACAAGAGCUUUCGAAUGAAAUCAAGAAAAAGGGGCUGGCCCCUAUAUUUAGGGGUCAGCAGCUCAUAAACGUGUUUUUUUAAUACUUAAAAAUGUUGACAUAUAUUGAAAAAGUUUGAAUGAAAUAAUCUUUAGGAUAUCAAAUCUUGUCAUUUGGUAUGAUAAGAAACAAGCUUUGUGCUAUAUUUAUUUCUAUUUCAUAAAAGAAAUGUGUGAGAAUCGCACAGGAACAAGUUGUCUGUACAAGCCCGCCAAGCUGUUUCGGGCCUCAUGCUUGUGUAGUGCUUAGAUAGUUGAUUUAGAUACAUUGUUUUGAUUCGACUUCUCUUUUUUAAUUUAUUUAAAUAAUUAACAAAAUUCAAUGUUUUUACACGAUGAACUGUUAAACAUCAUGUAUGUAUGUAUGUUAUCAGUGCAGAGCAAGUCUUUACGGGGCCUCCUGGAUGUAAACAUUCACGAUAGGCAUUGUGGGAAGGCCAGAGAAUGGCGAAAUCAAAUUUUAUCACCGUAUGUAGGUCUACAUGUAUAUUCAUUGUACAGCUACGAGCACAUGAAGUGCCCUCGAUUAUGCACUUGGAGCAUUAGUCAAUACUAACGAAGGAUAUAUUGUUGUCUGAAUCGUUUACCAUGUUUCGACUACGAGAAAAUUCUGACGGUCAUAUUUGCAAUGGAUUGAUAAACACAUAAAGAUACAGUGCAGAUAUAUUUAUAAACUGUCCCCAGUGAUAUUGUAACUAGUAAGGAAAAGUUAAUGGUGACACUUUAAUGUGUGAUGGAAUUGGACAUUGCUAAAAAGGUGCGCAUGAUGCAACUUCCUGGAUGGUGUGUAGUCUGUUUGUCAACAUGUGAAACCCACGUGUAUUUUGAGGAGUAGCCUCCCCUGUUAAAGAUCAAUAAUGGUGGAUAAACAAUGCAGGAUGCUGUCAUGUCAUCAACAGAGAGUUUUGACACCCGUAUACCCGUAUUUCUACCAAUCACCUCUGUAACCUUUGUUGUGUUCAUCAGACAGAUGAUGGACCACUCUACUUCCUUUUACAACAGGUGCCCCUACAGAUUCACAAAGUUUCAAUGUUGAUUUUCCAUGACCCCCAUUCAUCCGCGACAGGAAAAGGAAUGAAGUUGACAGGAUUUCCCGCACUGUCCUUGGUAGCAGCUUAUGAUAGAACGGACAGCAGUAGACAUAGCCCGCUUCAUCAAAGGUGUGCUGCAUGUUGGUAGCUGAUGCUGGUUCAAUAUUUGCGCCAAGAAGCAUACCACGCAUACCCUCUGUAGUAAGGCUGGUACCCAUGUGACCGACAGCCAUAGCCACAUUUAGCUGUGCAGCUCUGCGUCCCCUUCUGGAUCUCCCCACCUCUUCAUACAGCUUUUCACGGUGACUUGUAUAGUGGCACUUCUUACAUCGGAUGGAAAGGAUCCAUGCCAGGCCUCGUUUUUCCUCCCCAUGCUGGUUCCAGUCCAGUGAACCAUUACAGUCUGGAAACUUCUAGCUGCCUGGUCUUCUAAGAGAAACUCCAUUCUUUGAUGACUGAUGGAAAAGCCUCAUCACUCUCUACUGCUAAAGAACCACUUAUCUUAAUCACCAGCCAUUUAUCAGUGAUCACUGUUAUCAAAGCUCCAUGGUGCGCAUGAUGCAACUUCCUGGAUGUUUGUCAACAUGUGAAACCCACGUGUAUUAUGAGGUAGUUCAUGUAGAUUCUGACAAGGCCAUAGAGAAGGAACUGGGGAAAGAUGCUACCAGACUGGGUGGUAUAACUGAUUGCAUUUCGGACUCGACUAAUGAUUUUGUUUUUUCUGAGAUUGUAGACACCAAGGAGAUGCUGCACAGACAUAUCCAGUUUCAAAAAAGAAAAAUAAACUAAAGAGUCGAAAGACCCAGCUGGAGAGAGAUUCCCAUUUCUCGACCAAGGACAAAAAAAAAAGAUUUAAAAGGUGCUGACUAAGGAGGCAACGUCUCCAGAAGUAACGGAUGAUGAGGAAGCCACCCAGAGGAAGGUCUUACCAUUUAUAUGGGAGUCAUCCCUGCUGCGUAAUGUUAAGUGCGACCUGGACAGAGAGUAUGCUGAAUCUUUGCAACUUCAAUCAAAGAGACAAAAAGCCAAGGCCAUUAGAAGUAGAACGGAAAUGACUAUGACCCCACCACCUAGGAGCAUUCAAGAGUGGGCCAUUUCCUCUACUUAUAAAUGAUGCUAUUAUUGUUAAUAGUUAUAUUUAAUUUCCUCAUUUCUAAAGGCUCAAGGUCACAAUUAAUAAUAUUAUACCGUUAUAACCAGUUUUUAUGAAAUUUUAAUAAUGCUGUUGAAGGAAAAUUGCAAUUUUUCGGAUGUUUAUAAUUGAUACUGUUUAAGUAUGUCUAGCAUCUUAAAAAGUGUGAUGACCUAUAUAUUUCAUUUGAUAAUUUAUUAAUUUUAACUUUAAUAAAUUGAAAUAAAUGCAUUAUUGAUCAUUUUAUCAGAGAAUAUUGCAAGUAUGGAGUUACCUUGAUAUAUUUAUACAGAUUUGUUCUGCUUUAGUACUACUGUAUCAGUAUUAUUGCAUCAAGUUCAUUUGUGUGAAUAUAAUAAUAUUUAAGAAUGAAUAAAACUGUCAAAUUGUGGCUUGUAUUCUCUGUACAGUAGAAGGUCUUUGAGCAUCACGUUGGAAACUUGAUAUCAAAUGCAUGUAUGCAGAAACCAUUUGCAUAUCAGUAGCUUAUGCAUGCGGAAACUUGACGUAAACCAUAUAUAAACCAAUAUAGUUUAUGUAUGCGUAAACUUAUGAUAAACCAUAUAUGCAUGUUGAUGGUUUACGCCUGCGGAAACUGAUGAUAAACCAUAUGUAUGUCAAUGGUUUAUGGCUGCGGAAACUUGAGGUUUCAGGAAGUUUCCGUUGCGGAAACCAUAUGGAUUCGUGGACACCCUAAGUUUCCGGAGUGCGGAAUCUUGCUGAAACUUGAAGUUUCCAAGCGGAAACUUGGCAGAAACCUUAUGUAUACCUAAGUUUCCGCAGUGUUUCAGCCUUGCGGAAACUGCAUUUUUCAUCAUGUGUAACCAUAAAAAAAAAAUUGUGUAGCUUUUAUUUGACUCAAAUUAUAUCAGUUAAAAUUCAUACUAUUGAAUAAAAGUUGUUGAAACCAAAAUAUCAGAGAAAUUGAAACUCGUGCUUUUCAAAAAGAUGUUAAAAAAAGUUUCAUGGGUAGAUUAGGAUAUGGUAGCACAGUGUGUAGAGUGGCUGCUUCAUGAUCGGAAGAUUUUGGGUUCAUGCCCCGAGCAAACCCUAAAAUUUGGCAGUUGGUAUGCAAUGAGAGAUAGAUCAAGUAAAUUUUUCAUCAAGUGAUUUUUUCUCAAUGAAAUAUGUAUUUUAUAAUUAAAUAUUUGCACGUAUUUGGCUGUGGAUUUGGUUGGGAUGUCUGCUUUACGAAUUUAUUCAUAUAAUUCUUACAUUUGCCUUUUAAGUACUACAGCCAUAUAUAUUGAAUGUACAAAUGUAUAUAUUACAGGAAUUUUGUGGCAGCGUGUCACUGUUGGUCAGGUUAACAGGAUCUGCUUCCUUUUCUUGGGGGGAUUAUACUGAGUGGUCUAUUUUUCAUUUGCGAAAAAAGUAUUUUUUCAUUAUGAUUCUUAUUGAUAUUUCUAAUGUAAGGAAACUCACACCAUUUAUAGGAAAUUCUGAUAUUUUUUAUGCAUAAAGAAUUAAAGAUUAUCAUUUGCAUUACAGAGUUUGAAAGAUAACAGAUACAGCGUGAAAUGGUCUAAAGAAGACACUGCAUGUUUGACCAAUUAAUUUCAAAAAUAUGUGCAGACUAAAUGUGCUGCCAGACAAUUACAAAAUAAAGUAUACCUUCUAAGCAAGAAAGAAAUAAGAGAUUUUAUGGAAGCCCAUAUUCUGGCAUCCAUAUGCCAUCUUUCGGUGAAAGAACAGUACCUCAAAAUACGAACAAAAUUAUUCAAUGAAAGGAAAACAAUUUGAAGAAGAUUGUCACUCACUUAAAAUUCUGAGUUCAUCAUACAUUCCUUCAUGUAUAUACAUGAAAAUAUUGUGUAUCAAGUCUUAGUUCUCUGUGAUUUAUUGCUAAUGCUAAAUAAAUGUAUAAUAUAACAGAUAUUAUAUAAAUUCAGUAGACAAUGA